rnacentral:rRNA from 1 species
GACGCUGGCGGCAUGCCUAACACAUGCAAGUCGAACGAGACCUUCGGGUCUAGUGGCGCACGGGUGCGUAACACGUGGGAAUUUGCCUCGGGGUAUGGAAUAACUCAGGGAAACUUGAGCUAAUACCAUAUAAUGUCUUCGGACCAAAGAUUUAUCGCCCUGAGAUAAGCCCGCGUAGGAUUAGCUAGUUGGUGGGGUAAAGGCUCACCAAGGCGACGAUCCUUAGCUGGUCUGAGAGGAUGAUCAGCCACACUGGGACUGAGACACGGCCCAGACUCCUACGGGAGGCAGCAGUGGGGAAUAUUGGACAAUGGGCGAAAGCCUGAUCCAGCAAUGCCGCGUGAGUGAUGAAGGCCUUAGGGUUGUAAAGCUCUUUUACCAGGGAUGAUAAUGACAGUACCUGGAGAAUAAGCUCCGGCUAACUCCGUG